rnacentral:rRNA from 1 species
CAAGACUCCUACGGGAGGCAGCAGUGAGGAAUAUUGGUCAAUGGACGAAAGUCUGAACCAGCCAUGCCGCGUGCAGGAAGACGGCUCUAUGAGUUGUAAACUGCUUUUGUACAAGGGUAAACCUGAAUACGUGUAUUCAGCUGAAAGUACUGUACGAAUAAGGAUCGGCUAACUCCGUGCCAGCAGCCGCGGUAAUACGGAGGAUGCGAGCGUUAUCCGGAUUUAUUGGGUUUAAAGGGUGCGCAGGCGGAGGUGCAAGUCAGCGGUCAAAUUGCGGGGCUCAACCCCGUACUGCCGUUGAAACUGGCUGUCUUGAGAUGUCGAGAGGUAUGCGGAAUGCGCAGUGUAGCGGUGAAAUGCUUAGAUAUUGCGCAGAACUCCGAUUGCGAAGGCAGCAUACCGGCGGCGAUCUGACGCUGAGGCACGAAAGCGUGGGUAUCGAACAGGAUUAGAUACCCUCGUAAC